UGUGGAGACCGGGCACCGGAAAUGUGGACACGGGACGCCGGAAACAGGGACGCGCGCCAGACGCUGGGUGUUUAGAGGCUGCCGUGAGAGGCUCAGCUAUAGGAACACUGUUGGGAUCACUCGCAUCAAUUGGGCGAUGGAUGAUGUGAGACACCGAUGCUCGCGCUCAUGGGGAACCAAGCAUUCAUUUGUGCCGUGCGAGGACAGAGCCCAGAGGGCGGCCCUGGAGGUGAAGGCUACUGGCCGCGAGCUUUUCCAGCAAGUGUGCAACGUGGCGAGCAUCAGAGACGCCCAGUUCUUUGGCCUCUGUGUGGUCAGAAGAGGACAGACUCAGAACCGGCCCCUCAACCUCCCUGGCGCUGCGGCUUGGCACCUCCACCCAGCAGAGCCCUGUGGCCCCAGGGCCUUCUCGACCCGAGGACACCCUUCUUGGUUCUGGCCAGAGCCCUUGCUUUGGAGAUUUGGACUUUUUAAAUGGGAAGUGCUUGGAUUUCUUACUUUAAUUAUCUCUUAAGUUGUAAAUUGUGUACAUUUUUGAGACAUUUUGUGAAUUGUGUACAUUUUUGAGGCCUGUAGCAAAAAACAAGAGAUGCGAUUUGGGGCUUGGAUAUAGAGGCAAGGCAAAAUAAGACAGAGACAGAGAGGAAUAGAGAGAGAGUGGGCUCCACCUGGCCUGGCCUUGGCCCUCGCUGCCUGGAGAUUGCUCCUGUGGCAGUGAGCGAGGGUGCCGGUGUCCAGCCCCUUGGCCAGCCCUGCAGGAGUCUCGUGCUGUCACACCAGUGUCAAGGGUAGCAGGGCACAGUGGGGGAAGUUCAGGCCUUUUGUUCAAUCAACAGGCACCUGUGGACUCCAUGGUGUGUCCUGAUCUGCCUGCCGGGAGCUGAGAGGACGACUCUCACCGGGAAGAGAGUGAGGAGGCUCUGGAGGGUGCAUGUGGUCCCCACCCUGCUGGGUUCAGGGGAGCCUGUAGCCAACGCCAGAAUCUCCCCUUCCAGCAGCAAGAUGCCUGUCCUCCAGCAGACAGUCAUGUGCCAGUCAAGGCUCUCCAGAGAAGCAGGACAAGUAGGACGCGCACGCACACUCCUGACAGAUGUAUGCGUAUGUGUAUGUCUGUAUACACGUAUUCUUCUGAUCCCAUUUCUCUCUACAGAUAGUGUGUGUGUGUAUAGAUACAUAGAGGGAGAAAGAGAGAAGCUGAUUUAUUGUAAAGAACUGGCUCAUAUGAUUGUUGGAGGCUGGCAAGUCUCAAAUCUGCAGGGCAGGCUGGAGACCCAGGGAGAGCCACUGUUGCCAUCUUGGGUCCGAGGGCCGUCGGGAGACAGAGUUCCUUCCUCCAGAGGGGACCUCAGUCUUUCCCUGUUAGUCCUCCAACCGACUAGACGAGGCCCACCCACAGUAUGAAGGUCAUCUGCUUUACUCAAAGUCUACUGAUGUCAAUGUCUCCCUCCCUCCCUCCCUCCCUCCCUCCCUCCUCCCCUCCCUCUCUCCCUUCCUUCCUUCCUUCUUUCCUUCCUUCCUUCUUUCCUUCCUUCCUUCCUUCCUUCUUUCUUUCCUUCCUUCCUUCUUUCUUUCCUUCCUUCCUUCCUUCAUCUCACUCUGCCACCCAGGCUGGAAUGCAGUGCUAUGGUCAUGGCUCAGGUGGAUCCUCUGGCCUCAGCCUCCUGAGUGGCUGGGACUGCAGAUGCAUACCACAACAGCCAGAUGCCUUUUGUAUUUUUUUGUGGAGUCGGGUCUCAUUAUGUUGCCCAGGCUGGUCUCAAACUGCUGGGCUCAUGCAAUCCACCUGCCUCUGCCUCCCAAAGUGCUGGGAUUACAGGCAUGAGCCACCACACCCAGCCUGAGUGUUGCCUUCAUCUUAAGAAUGUCUUCACAGUGACAUCUAGACUGCUUUGACCAUACAGCGGGGCACUGUGGCCAGGCUAAGAAGGGUGCGCCCAUCACCAGAGGUGAUGAUGUCUGCUGUCCCACUUCUAGGGGUGCAGGGAUUUAGGGGGACAGUGAUGAUUUUGAGAAACAAGUGGUUUCAUCUUCUAGAUCGGUGUUGCCGCAAGUAUUGUUCUCGUAGUGUUUGAGGUUAAGUCCUAGGAAGUACUAAGCUUAAGGAGUUCAUUUUCUGUCCUGCUUAUUAUGAUUUGAGAUGGAGUUGGUAAGGAUACAGUGGGGUGAUUUAGGUAAUGAAUGUACAAAUAAAAGGCCUUUUGCUGACCUUACCGAGGCAAAGGUAACCCCAGAUCCUUUAGCAAACAUUGCUAAACAUCUGCCAUUCAUGCUGCAAACACUGAGUUCAAGCUCGAGUACCCAAAUGGUGAAUUCGGGGGAGUCAGGACCAGAGAAUGGUGAUCUAGACCUUUUCACUCGGCAUUUGCUUAGACCAGGCAUUGGCAGACUUUUUCUGUAAAAGGCCACAUAGUAAAUAUUUUGACUUUGCAGUACGAAAGCAGCUAUGGACAUGAUGUAAUAGAAUGAUUGUGGCUGUCUUCCAACAAGAUUUUAUUAACAAGAGCGAGUGGGUGCUGGGGUUUGGCCUGGGGCCCUGGUUUGCUAACCCCUGGCUCUGAGGGUCCUUGGCCUGUUAUGGGGUGGGGUGGGGACUCCCCUAGGAAUGGCCUCUGCAAGUCUGGGCCUCCCUGUCUGUGAGAUGGGGGUAGAUAACAGUGCCAUCAGGUUGAAGAUGUAGGGAUUGGUUCAGAGUCUUUAGCACAGAGCAUGGCACCCAGUGUCUAAGCAGUGAGUUGUUGUGGUUGUUACCGAUGAGCCAAGUGUUUGAUCCUCCCUGACACAAAAGUAAACUGGGGCUGGUGACACCUUGGAGCCUCCCCCUGGGUCUAACGCCGUCUAGAAGAGCCGGGUACUAAGGAUUAGAAAGACAGGCAGGGCGGAGAGGGGCCGAGCCAGGCACCCGGCCCUGUGAUGCCCUUUCUGCAGGCCUCUGUGGGUAAGUCUUCCUCACUGGUGUCUUCAUUUAUCUGCAGACGUGCUAGCACUUGGGGAUGGAGUAUCUUCAUAUGUAAUGCAGGUGGCUGUAAGGGAGUACUGCCUUAUCAGGGACUAACUUUUCCCUGUGGCUUUUAUUCUCAGGACUACAGGUUUUCUAAUAUAAAUAAGAGUAGACGGUGCUCUGUAUCCACGGGUUCCACAUCCUUGGAUUUAACUAACCUCAUGUUGAACAUACUCAAAAUAAUAACAAUAAAUAGUACAACAAUAAAAUAAUAUGAGCUUAACAACACAGUACAACAAAGACUUCCACAGCAUUUACAUUGCAUCAGGUAUUAUAAGGAAUCUCAAGGUGAUGUAAAGUGUACAUGAGGAUGUGCAUAGGGUACACGCAAACUCUACACCAUUCCCGGGUUUUGAUAUCCGAGGGGAGUCCUGGAACCAGUUCCCAGCCGACACGGAGGGAUUGUACGUUGCUUUAAGUCGCAGCAGGAAGGGUGUCUCUCUAGGCUUUAUUUUCCUCUCUAGGAAAAUUGUUUAAUUUUUCCAGGCCAUAAAGAAAACACAUGCUGGUAAAUAUUUUUAAAAUAUAGAAACACCUAAUUUAGAAAGAAGCGUCUCUUGUAGUUUCCAGGGAAACCAGGUUAACAGGUAAAGCUGGGAUCAUUGACUUGAAGUUGAUCACGUUGGUACUAGAUUAUAGACAUCUCUAUUUUUAUUGAUUGAUUGCUUAAUUGUUUGAGGCAGGGUCACACUCUUAUCACCCACACUGGAGUGCAGUGGCGCGUUCAUAGCUUUCUGCAGCCUUGAACUCCCAGGAUCAAGCAAUCUUCCUGCCUCAGCCCCCUGAGUAGCUAGGACUACAGGCAUGCACCGCCACACCCAGCUAAUUUUUUUUUUUUUUCCUGUGGUAACAAGGUCUCAUUAUGUUGUCCAGGCUUGUCUUGAAUUCCUGGCCUCAAGCAAUCCUCCUGCCUUGGCCUCCAAAAUUGCUGAGAUUACAAGCUUGAGCCACCGCAUCCAACCCUGACAUCUCUAUUUUUUAAACGACUCAUUCCAUAGCUGAGAGAGGGGUGCCUGGGUUGCAGAGGAAGAGGGUAGGGAUACGUGUUGCUAAAUUGCUUUCCCAAAGGGCGUGCCCGGAGCAUGUGCCAGUUUUGAAUAUCAGCUUGUAAUAUUCCUGCACGUUGGAACAUUGUUUUAGUAAGCAAGCAUUUGACACCUGCAUGUGUGUUAAGAUGCUUUCUGCGUUGUCAGCCAAGGAAAGCCCCAUAUGCAGCGUCAGCUGCAGACGCACAGUUUUCAGCUGUGCAUCUCUUCUCUCCAAGCCACACUCAGUUUUGAACAAACGGUGACACCUGAGAAGCAUGGUGACUGCUCUGAUGAAGCCUUUUGUUUUGCUUUCAGACAAUGAGUAUAUAUUUAUGGAUUUGGAGCAAAAGCUCAGCAAGUACUUCUCAAAAGAUUGGAAGAAAGAAAGAAAUGAAGGAAAUGAGAAACCCAGAGCCCCCUUCGUGGCCUUCCUCCGAGUGCAGCACUACGUGGAAAACGGAAGGGUCAUAAGCGACCACAGGGCACGGCACCUGUACUACUGCCACUUGAAGGAGCGCGUGCUGAGGUCACAGUGCGCUCACCGGGAGGAAGCCUACUUCCUGCUGGCUGCCUGCGCGCUGCAGGCUGACCUGGGCGAGCACCGGGAGUCGGCCCAUGCCGGGAGGUACUUCGAGCCACACUCCUACUUCCCACAGUGGAUCAUCACCAAGAGGGGGAUUGACUACAUCCUCCGGCACGUGCCUACCCUGCACGGGGAGCGCCAGGGCCUGAGCCCCAAGGAGGCCAUGCUGUGCUUCAUCCAGGAGGCCUGCCGGCUGGAGGAUGUGCCCGUGCACUUCUUCAGGCUGCACAAGGAUAAGAAGGAAGGUCGUCCCACCAUGAUCCUGGGACUGGCCCUCAGGGGAGUGCACAUCUACCAGGAGGUGGACCGUGCUCCGCAGCUGCUGUACGACCUCCCCUGGCCCCACAUUGGGAAGCUGGCAUUUCUGGGAAAGAAGCUAGAGAUCCAGCUGGAUGGGCUGCCCGCAGCACAGAAGCUGGUUUACUACACGGGCUGCACCUGGCGGUCCAGGCACCUGCUGCAGCUGCUGCGCGCCAGCCACCAGCUCCACCUCCGCGUGCGGCCCACUCUGCAACAGCUGCGGCAGCGGGAGGAGGCGGAAGAGAAGCAGCACUACCGGGAGUCCUAUAUCAGCGAUGGGCUGGAGCUGGACCUGGCCAGCAGGAGCUUCCCGGGCAGUGGGGUCAGCAGCCAGCACUGCCCCCGCUGCCUCUCACGCCACUCCGCCGACAGCCACGGCAGUUCCUACACGUCAGGCAUCAAGGCCAACUCCUGGCUCAGGGAAUCCAGAGAGAUGUCUGUGGACGUACCCUUGGAGGUCCACGGGCUCCAUGAGAAGGAGCCGUCCUCCAGCCCCAGGACCAGCUGCAGCCACCCCAGCACACGUGGUGACAGCCAAGGUGGGCCCGAGGGAGAUGCCCAGGCCCCAGGGACAGUGAGUGCGGUCCAGCCAGCCCCAGCUUGGCUGACCCUGGACACCGAGGCAGCAAAGCCCUGGCCUGCCCUCCAGUGGCCAGACGUGAGGGGCUGGGCUGCCUGUGACCUGAGUCCCGGGAAAUAUGCCAGAACAUGCCGGAAGAACAGAGAUGGCAGGGAGGAGCUGCCUGCAUCCUGCUGUGCCCGAGUCUCCUGUUCCUGCCAAGGGGCAGCCGCAGGCUGGGAUCAGAGACAGGAGAGCCACUCACCAGGAGCCCUGCACCGAGGUCAGGACCAGAGGCCAGAGCGCCGAGGCCGUGCACCAGAGCCACUGAGCCUUAGGAUCCCCCAGAGGAGCUAGAGGAGAAGCGAGCCAGUGGUUCCUGGAUGCCCAGGAGGCCGUUCUUGACCACUGAGGUGCUUCCAGAGCUGGUGUUCAAGGCCCACACUCAGACCUGAUCCCAAAUUACACCAAACGCUAAGAGUCCAGGUCCACUGAGUUAAAAGGCAGAAAGCAGCCCCAGGAAAGAAGCUGGGCAAGGUGGGGGCCUCCUGAAAUGCAUCAAAGGAAGAUGCCAAGCCUCUCUCGCAGAGAUCCAGGAAAUGAAAGCCGGGGUCAGUGAGGAGCAGCACAGCCACGGCCUGGACGACAUGCAGCUGCACCAGCUGGCCCUGCACCCAGCGCCCGCCUCACUCAGCCAUACCUUCCACCGCGCCCUGGACUGCAGGCUGGCAGGCCCCUGCGAGACCAGGGCCACUCUCCCCAGCAAGAGGUCCAGCAACUGUCUCGCCCUGGACCUGUUCGGAGAGGCCCCACCACAGGAGUUUGUGGUGUAGGCACCACCCACCCAGCAGUACCGUCUGCACCGCCAGGCUCAGCCCCUGCCCACCCCACUUCCACAUGGCCCUCGGCCCUUCCUGCCCGCCAGAUGCUGCCUGCACCUCCGCAGCCAGCACGCUCCACAGGUUCACCUGUAAGAGGUGUGGAGCUGGCUCUGACAUCAACCUGGGAGGUGACAAACAGGUCCCGCACCUCAUGCCUGUCUGCCAUGCACCCGGGAGCUCUUUCCCUCAGGGUCUCAGGGAGCCGGUUCAAGGUCUGGCUGUCAAGUGUCCAGAGAGCCAUGGUGUUGGCCCCUGAGGCAGCCUGUCACCCAUCCUAAUCUGGGAGAGAAGGUGACACAGCUGGGCCAGACCCUGGAGAGAGAGCUCUGCAGUUUCCCACACUACCAGCUCCCCAAGAGACAGUCCCGAUGGGCACAGGCUGCCAGAGCUCCCAAGCUGGAGUUCACAGUCGUCAUCACUGUGCAGGACCCAGGUUCCUCCCAGACCUGAACCCCUCUCUGCAACUCCUGUUUGCAAGCGCUGGGCCUGCCAGACAGAGGCCCCUCUUGUGGUGCAAGCCCAGCUCUGUCACCUGAGAUCCAGCCAGAGACCCUCUUCCACCAUCCACAGUCAAUGGCUGUGCUUUCCCUUCCAAGCCAGGGCUUCCAAAGACCCCACUGCCCCGGAGCUGAAGCCGACUCUGCUCCCAUCUCAGCCAUGAGGCCUCAGGACCCACUCUGCUCACAGGUGGCUUCCUUAAGCCAUUGCCCUGGCGGGGGUUGGGUUGGUGCAGCCCAGCUGGCGGAGGGGCAAGGCUUCGGUGACAGAUGGAGAGUGGGGACUAGCUGUGCCUGGCACCUGCUCUGAUCUGGUGGGCUCCACGGGUAGUGCGACCUCGGUUCUGUGGGCUCUGGAAGGCCACCAGGGUAGGGUCUCCCCAAGGCUCCUCCCCCUGCACAACACUCCUGCACACGUGCAAACCUGCUGUCCUCUGCAUUUAGAGGAAUGGCCCAUGCAUCCCUGCUAGUCUCAGGCCCAUCCCAGAGCACUGAGAGGCCACAAUCGUUCAGCCCUGUGCCCUGAACACCACUGCCCCCUUCACUGUCUGUGUGUGGUGAAGACCACGCCACACCACCCUCCAGCUCACUGGAGACAAGCAUGAGCUUGAGCCCCAUGGCCUGGUGCAGGGCUGCGUGCAUUGAGGCCGCCUCUUUGACGGGUCCAUCCAGGGGGACCCUCUCCUUUCUGUGAAAGGGAAUCGUGUGUGUGCCCCAGGCAUGUGUAAUAAAGAACCCGAGCAGAUGCCUCCUGCUUGAACCAGUA